GAUGAACGCUGGCGGCGUGCCUAAUACAUGCAAGUCGAGCGAACGGACGAGAAGCUUGCUUCUCUGAUGUUAGCGGCGGACGGGUGAGUAACACGUGGAUAACCUACCUAUAAGACUGGGAUAACUUCGGGAAACCGGAGCUAAUACCGGAUGAUAUUUUGAACCGCAUGGUUCAAAAGUGAAAGACGGUCUUGCUGUCACUUAUAGAUGGAUCCGCGCUGCAUUAGCUAGUUGGUAAGGUAACGGCUUAUCAAGGCAACGAUGCAUAGCCGACCUGAGAGAGUGAUCGGCCACACUGGAACUGAGACACGGUCCAGACUCCUACGAGAGGCAGCAGUAGGGAAUCGUCCGCAAUGGGCGAGAGCCUGACGGAGCAACGCCGAGUGAGUGAUGAAGGUCUUCGGAGCGUAAAACUCUGUUAUUAGGGAAGAACAUAUGUGUAAGUAACUGUGCACAUAUUGACGGUAACUAAUCAGAAAGCCACGGCUAACUACGUG
rnacentral:rRNA from 1 species